rnacentral:rRNA from 1 species
CCUACGGGAGGCUGCAGUGGGGAAUAUUGCACAAUGGGCGCAAGCCUGAUGCAGCCAUGCCGCGUGUGUGAAGAAGGCCUUCGGGUUGUAAAGCACUUUCAGCGGGGAGGAAGGCGGUGAGGUUAAUAACCUCAUCGAUUGACGUUACCCGCAGAAGAAGCACCGGCUAACUCCGUGCCAGCAGCCGCGGUAAUACGGAGGGUGCAAGCGUUAAUCGGAAUUACUGGGCGUAAAGCGCACGCAGGCGGUCUGUCAAGUCGGAUGUGAAAUCCCCGGGCUCAACCUGGGAACUGCAUUCGAAACUGGCAGGCUAGAGUCUUGUAGAGGGGGGUAGAAUUCCAGGUGUAGCGGUGAAAUGCGUAGAGAUCUGGAGGAAUACCGGUGGCGAAGGCGGCCCCCUGGACAAAGACUGACGCUCAGGUGCGAAAGCAUGGGGAGCAAACAGGAUUAGAUACCCCAGUAGUC